rnacentral:rRNA from 1 species
CCUACGGGCGGCUGCAGUAGGGAAUAUUGCUCAAUGGGGGAAACCCUGAAGCAGCAACGCCGCGUGGAGGAUGAAGGUUUUCGGAUUGUAAACUUCUUUUGUUAGAGAAGAUAAUGACGGUAUCUAACGAAUAAGCACCGGCUAACUCCGUGCCAGCAGCCGCGGUAAUACGGAGGGUGCAAGCGUUACUCGGAAUCACUGGGCGUAAAGGGCGCGUAGGCGGGAUAGCAAGUCAGAUGUGAAAUCCUAUGGCUUAACCAUGGAACUGCAAUUGAAACUGUUAUUCUAGAGUAUGGGAGAGGUAAGUGGAACUCUUGGUGUAGGGGUAAAAUCCGUAGAGAUCAAGAGGAAUACUCGUUGCGAAGGCGACCUGCUAGAACAUUACUGACGCUGAUGCGCGAAAGCGUGGGGAGCAAACAGGAUUAGAUACCCGGGUAGUC